AUAGCCAUAAACUAAUUGCAUUCU
rnacentral:siRNA from 1 species